rnacentral:rRNA from 1 species
AUUGAGCGCUGGCGGCAGGCCUAACACAUGCAAGUCGAGCGGAUGAAGGGAGCUUGCUCCUGGAUUCAGCGGCGGACGGGUGAGUAAUGCCUAGGAAUCUGCCUGGUAGUGGGGGAUAACGUCCGUAAACGGGCGCUAAUACCGCAUACGUCCUGAGGGAGAAAGUGGGGGAUCUUCGGACCUCACGCUAUCAGAUGAGCCUAGGUCGGAUUAGCUAGUUGGUGGGGUAAAGGCCUACCAAGGCGACGAUCCGUAACUGGUCUGAGAGGAUGAUCAGUCACACUGGAACUGAGACACGGUCCAGACUCCUACGGGAGGCAGCAGUGGGGAAUAUUGGACAAUGGGCGAAAGCCUGAUCCAGCCAUGCCGCGUGUGUGAAGAAGGUCUUCGGAUUGUAAAGCACUUUAAGUUGGGAGGAAGGGCAGUAAGUUAAUACCUUGCUGUUUUGACGUUACCAACAGAAUAAGCACCGGCUAACUUCGUG